rnacentral:rRNA from 1 species
UACGUAGGGUGCAAGCGUUAAUCGGAAUUACUGGGCGUAAAGCGUGCGCAGGCGGUUUUGUAAGUUUGUCGUGAAAUCCCCGGGCUCAACCUGGGAAUUGCGAUGGAGACUGCAAGGCUAGAAUCUGGCAGAGGGGGGUAGAAUUCCACGUGUAGCAGUGAAAUGCGUAGAGAUGUGGAGGAACACCGAUGGCGAAGGGCA